GUAGGGAAUAUUGGGCAAUGGACGAAAGUCUGACCCAGCCACGCCGCGUGAAGGAUGACGGCCCUAUGGGUUGUAAACUUCUUUUAUAUGGGAAGAACCUCCCCGACGUGUCGGGGACUGACGGUACCAUAAGAAUAAGCAUCGGCUAACUCCGUGCCAGCAGCCGCGGUAAUACGGAGGAUGCAAGCGUUGUCCGGAUUCAUUGGGUUUAAAGGGUGCGUAGGCGGAAGAUUAAGUCAGUGGUGAAAGCUUACAGCUUAACUGUGAAAAUGCCAUUGAAACUGAUCUUCUUGAGUUCGAUUGAGGUAGAUGGAAUGUAUCAUGUAGCGGUGAAAUGCUUAGAUAUGAUACAGAACACCAAUUGCGAAGGCAGUCUACUAAGUCGAUACUGACGCUGAGGCACGAAAGCAUGGGGAGCAAACAGGAUUAGAAACCCCUGUAGUCC
rnacentral:rRNA from 1 species